rnacentral:rRNA from 1 species
UACGGAGGGUGCGAGCGUUGUCCGGAAUCACUGGGCAUAAAGGGCGCGUAGGUGGCGCGGGCAGUCAACGGUGAAAGUUCGGGGCUCAACCCUGAAUCGGCCGUCGAUACUCCCGGGCUUGAGCACUGUAGAGGCAGAUGGAAUUCCGGGUGUAGCGGUGGAAUGCGUAGAGAUCCGGAAGAACACCGGUGGCGAAGGCGGUCUGCUGGGCAGUAGCUGACACUGAGGCGCGACAGCGUGGGGAGCAAACAGG